rnacentral:tRNA from 1 species
AUUCAUUUAGUAUAAAAAGUAUACUUAAUUUCCAAUUAAGGGGUUUAAAAAUUAAAAUGAAUA